GCGGGUGCUUACACAUGCAAGUCGAACGAUGAAGCUGGGGCUUGCUCUGGUGGAUUAGUGGCGAACGCGGUGAGUAACACGUGAGCAACCUGCCCUGGACUCUGGGAUAAGCGCUGGAAACGGCGUCUAAUACUGGAUACGAGACGUGGCCGCAUGGUCAACGUUUGGAAAGAUUUUUCGGUCUGGGAUGGGCUCGCGGCCUAUCAGCUUGUUGGUGAGGUAAUGGCUCACCAAGGCGUCGACGGGUAGCCGGCCUGAGAGGGUGACCGGCCACACUGGGACUGAGACACGGCCCAGACUCCUACGGGAGGCAGCAGUGGGGAAUAUUGCACAAUGGGCGGAAGCCUGAUGCAGCAACGCCGCGUGAGGGAUGACGGCCUUCGGGUUGUAAACCUCUUUUAGCAGGGAAGAAGCGUGAGUGACGGUACCUGCAGAAAAAGCGCCGGCUAACUACGUGCCAGCAGCCGCGGUAAUACGUAGGGCGCAAGCGUUAUCCGGAAUUAUUGGGCGUAAAGAGCUCGUAGGCGGUUUGUCGCGUCUGCUGUGAAAUCCCGAGGCUCAACCUCGGGCCUGCAGUGGGUACGGGCAGACUAGAGUGCGGUAGGGGAGAUUGGAAUUCCUGGUGUAGCGGUGGAAUGCGCAGAUAUCAGGAGGAACACCGAUGGCGAAGGCAGAUCUCUGGGCCGUAACUGACGCUGAGGAGCGAAAGGGUGGGGAGCAAACAGGCUUAGAUACCCUGGUAGUCCACCCCGUAAACGUUGGGAACUAGUUGUGGGGUCCUUUCCACGGAUUCCGUGACGCAGCUAACGCAUUAAGUUCCCCGCCUGGGGAGUACGGCCGCAAGGCUAAAACUCAAAGGAAU
rnacentral:rRNA from 1 species